rnacentral:ncRNA from 2 species
UGCAUUCGCCGUGGCGAUUUGUUACCGGAUUGCGGGCCACGUUAAAUAUGCCGCUAAAGAGGGUGAAGGUUCUUUUGA